UCAGAUAUUCAAAACUUUCCAGGCUCCUGUUUGCAGCAUCUGUUUUUACCUGAGCAGGAGACCUCUCCAGCAGACCCUUCCUCAUAAGAGCUUUCAAGCUCUUGCCUUCCUCAGUGAUUUUCCUACCUAUCCUAUUCCUGAGAGUUCCAAGGCUCAACCAUGUUCCUGGUGCUCCUCCCGGUGCUGGGGAUAAACUUUCUCCUGAGAGAUGGCCAAGCUCAGUCAGUGACUCAACCUGAUGUUCAUGUCACUAUCUCUGAAGAAGCCUCUCUGCAGCUGAGAUGCAAAUAUUCCUCCUCUGUGCCACCUUCCCUGUUCUGGUAUGUCCAGUACCCACAGCAGGGGCUGCAGCUGCUCCUCCGGUACUAUUCAGGAGACCCGGUGGUUCAAGGAGAGAAUAGCUUCGAGGCUGAAUUCAACAAGAGUGAGUCUUCCUUCCACCUGCGGAAAGCCUCUGUGCACUGGAGCGACUCGGCUGUGUACUUCUGUGCUCUGAGCGCACAGUGUCUGAGUCUGUAG